rnacentral:rRNA from 1 species
CAGUAGCCGCGGUAAUACGAAGGGUGCAAGCGUUACUCGGAAUUACUGGGCGUAAAGCGUGCGUAGGCGGUUUGUUAAGCCUGUUGUGAAAUCCCCGGGCUCAACCUGGGAAUGGCAAUGGAUACUGGCAAGCUAGAGUGUGUCAGAGGAUGGUGGAAUUCCCGGUGUAGCGGUGAAAUGCGUAGAGAUCGGGAGGAACAUCAGUGGCGAAGGCGGCCAUCUGGGACAACACUGACGCUGAGGCACGAAAGCGUGGGGAGCAAACAGGAUUAGAUACCCCUGUAGUCCCUGUCUCUUAUAC